rnacentral:rRNA from 1 species
UGACCUCAAUCAGGUAGGACUACCCGCUGACUAGCCUAUCAUUAGCGGAG